GACGAACGCUGGCGGCGUGCCUAAUACAUGCAAGUUGAGCGCUGAAGGUUGGUACUUGUACCGACUGGAUGAGCAGCGAACGGGUGAGUAACGCGUGGGGAAUCUGCCUUUGAGCGGGGGACAACAUUUGGAAACGAAUGCUAAUACCGCAUAAAAACUUUAAACACAAGUUUUAAGUUUGAAAGAUGCAAUUGCAUCACUCAAAGAUGAUCCCGCGUUGUAUUAGCUAGUUGGUGAGGUAAAGGCUCACCAAGGCGAUGAUACAUAGCCGACCUGAGAGGGUGAUCGGCCACAUUGGGACUGAGACACGGCCCAAACUCCUACGGGAGGCAGCAGUAGGGAAUCUUCGGCAAUGGACGAAAGUCUGACCGAGCAACGCCGCGUGAGUGAAGAAGGGUGUCGGGUCGUAAAACUCGGUUGGUAGAGAAGAACGUUGGUGAGAGUGGAAAGCUCAUCAAGUGACGGUAACUACCCAGAAAGGGACGGCUAACUACGUG
rnacentral:rRNA from 1 species